AAUCGUGAGGCGGCCGGGACAGGCGCUGCGCUGAGGGAAGGCGCAGGGUGCUGAGGUGAAAAAGGAGCGGGGUGAAUACGGUCCACAUAGGAUUUAACGGCUAGAAGAAAUGUGGCACACAGCGAGAGAAAGUGCCAAUCCUUCAACAAACUCCUCAGCGACAGAGCAAAGGCUUUUUUCCCCACAACUUGUUGGGAUGCCCAUGUUCCUAUGAGCUUGGACGAAUGCUUUCUAGUAGUCUGUGACCUUACAGUGAUGGAAAUACUCAAGAAUGCAUCAGAUGUUAAAGAUGUGACAGCUGAUCACAAGUGAAUGCUGGUCUGUCAGAAGGUUUGCAUAUGGACAUUUUUAGAGAAUCCUUGAAGAGAAGUAAUGUCUACUUUUGUAGCACCUAAAGGAAGGUUAGAUUUAGAUUAAUUGAUUCAUCUCUACUACACUGUUCUGUUCCAAGCAAGGAUGGCUUUCCCUCCUGGAGUCCCAUUGAUUUCAAGAGUAUAGUUAUUAAUAUCUAUCUAUAUAAUUCAGACAUUUUUAAGCUUCUGUAAAUUUAGAGACUUCUUCCAUCAAAUAUAGGACUCAGCUGCCUGUAAUACACUUCUCUUUGAGACUGCACCAACCUUUGAGUCGCAUCCAUCCACUUCAUACUCAAGUGAAAAGGAUUCAUUUAAAUCUAUUGACAACGCUCACAGAACUUAAUAAUUUAAGUUAUAAACACCAAUUUGUAAUUUAAAAAUCAGUAACAAAUUUAUGAUAUUUUAAAUGAAGCAAUACCUCUUCUGAGUUACAGGUCAAGUAAGAUUUUUAAGGCAAUGUCAUAUAAAAACAUUGUAUAAAGCUGUUCUAUUGAUACAAAGAAAAACACAUAGGCCUACAUAUAAAUGGCACUGUCAAGUAUUUUUAGAACUAUCCAACUAAGAGGUUAAAGACUUAAGUUCAGAUUUGUUUCUAGCUGAAUAAAAUUUGUAGUAUUGAUUUCCAGCUGCUUAAAAUGCACUGAGGAGAUUUCACCAAAACGGGUGGCAAAUGGACCCUAAGCAGGCUUCAUGAGGCAGACCAGCCCAACUCCAGACCUUUUCUAUCUACUCUGCUGUUCUCUAAUAUAUUCUACUUUCCAGCAGGAUGGGAUGCAACAUAAUUUAUUUGUGUGUAUGUGCAUCCAUGCGGAAGCCUAUAUGCAUGUGCGUAAAUACAUGUGUGAACGCAGUCAUUUACAAUAAAUAUGUGAUUCGCUUUGUUC
rnacentral:lncRNA from 7 species